AGGACGAGCGGGAGGAUGCAAUC
rnacentral:piRNA from 1 species